rnacentral:misc_RNA from 1 species
GAAUUAUUAGCGAGGACGUGGGAACGAGUUGUUAUUGCUUGCUUGCUCCCAUUCAAGGUGUGGAAAUUGGAGUAGAAUGUUUCACUGUCACCGUCCAUGCAAUGUGUAGUGCGGAAACUGGUUGAGGGAUUCAACUGAGGCCGGCUGUUUGUUUGCCAAAUGCUAAUUUUAAGUCAUUCUGUGUAAUAGCAUGACAAAUGUACCAAUGAAUGAGCCCAUAUGUGCUCAUGAAGCUGGAGGUGGUUUUGAGAUUUGAUUUCGUCGUCCUUGGCAAAUUAAUAUGCGACUUUUCUUGGCAAUUUCCGAGUACCAAGUCCAACAAUUCACACCAA